GUCUUGCUGUCACUUAUAGAUGGAUCCGCGCUGCAUUAGCUAGUUGGUAAGGUAACGGCUUACCAAGGCAACGAUGCAUAGCCGACCUGAGAGGGUGAUCGGCCACACUGGAACUGAGACACGGUCCAGACUCCUACGGGAGGCAGCAGUAGGGAAUCUUCCGCAAUGGGCGAAAGCCUGACGGAGCAACGCCGCGUGAGUGAUGAAGGUCUUCGGAUCGUAAAACUCUGUUAUUAGGGAAGAACAUAUGUGUAAGUAACUGUGCACAUCUUGACGGUACCUAAUCAGAAAGCCACGGCUAACUACGUGCCAGCAGCCGCGGUAAUACGUAGGUGGCAAGCGUUAUCCGGAAUUAUUGGGCGUAAAGCGCGCGUAGGCGGUUUUUUAAGUCUGAUGUGAAAGCCCACGGCUCAACCGUGGAGGGUCAUUGGAAACUGGAAAACUUGAGUGCAGAAGAGGAAAGUGGAAUUCCAUGUGUAGCGGUGAAAUGCGCAGAGAUAUGGAGGAACACCAGUGGCGAAGGCGACUUUCUGGUCUGUAACUGACGCUGAUGUGCGAAAGCGUGGGGAUCAAACAGGAUUAGAUACCCUGGUAGUCCACGCCGUAAACGAUGAGUGCUAAGUGUUAGGGGGUUUCCGCCCCUUAGUGCUGCAGCUAACGCAUUAAGC
rnacentral:rRNA from 1 species